rnacentral:rRNA from 1 species
AACGAACGCUGGCGGCAUGCCUAACACAUGCAAGUCGAACGAGACCUUCGGGUCUAGUGGCGCACGGGUGCGUAACGCGUGGGAACCUGCCCUUAGGUUCGGAAUAACUCCCCGAAAGGGGUGCUAAUACCGGAUAAUGUCUUCGGACCAAAGAUUUAUCGCCUUUGGAUGGGCCCGCGUUGGAUUAGCUAGUUGGUAGGGUAAAAGCCUACCAAGGCGGCGAUCCAUAGCUGGUCUGAGAGGAUGAUCAGCCACACUGGGACUGAGACACGGCCCAGACUCCUACGGGAGGCAGCAGUGGGGAAUAUUGGACAAUGGGCGAAAGCCUGAUCCAGCAAUGCCGCGUGAGUGAUGAAGGCCUUAGGGUUGUAAAGCUCUUUUACCCGGGAUGAUAAUGACAGUACCGGGAGAAUAAGCGCCGGCUAACUCCGUG